AGAUUUAGGUUGGUCUAGCUUUGAGAAAACGUUGGAAGCUACAGUCAAAAUGAAGUUUGUUUUGAGGGUCGCUUUCCUUCUGCUUCUGGUUUCUGGCACAUUGGCAGUAGAAGAGCCCAAUCAUGAGGCAGCUGUGCACCGACCUAAGCGUUGGCGUGGAUUUAGCUUGUUCGAUAAGCUUCGCGGACCCAAACCUACUACUAC